AGACUUAUCUUUUCUUUUUAACGACUUUCCUACCCUGAAAUCGGUUCAACCAGAGAUAAGGUCCAACAUCUGAAAGAGAACCACAAGUCUUGUGGUGUUUGGUGCCCCCUCGGUGGCCAUUGUAAAUAUGGUGAACCAAGUACCAUCCAUGCCCGAUCAUACUCAUAUCUACCUCCUUUGAUUUUUCAAUGUCCACCAGGUUAGCAAUCU
rnacentral:ncRNA from 1 species